CUUGACGGAGCCGAGCCACAGCGGUUCGGCGCGGUCCUGGCCGUAGGUGGCGAGCAGCGCCUGCGCCUC
rnacentral:antisense_RNA from 1 species